UAGUGGUGCAUUGUAGUUGCAUUGCGUGUCAAACUUGUGCAAUGUCUCUGCAGUGCAAUCACCA
rfam:Biomphalaria glabrata isolate BB02 unplaced genomic scaffold LGTN_random_Scaffold1923, whole genome shotgun sequence.